GGCUAUGGUUUGUCUUGGAGUCAAUUUAAGCAGGGUCAUCUAUUGAGUGGUUCAGAUGACUCAGAUAUAUGUUUAUGGGACAUUAAUGCCACUCCCAAAAAUAAGGCUAUAGAGGCUAUGCAGAUAUUUAAGGUUCAUGAAGGUGUUGUUGAGGAUGUAGCUUGGCAUCUGAGGCAUGAGUAUUUAUUUGGCUCUGUUGGGGAUGAU
rnacentral:misc_RNA from 1 species